GAAGCUGGAAUUGCUAGUAAUCACAGGUCAGCAUACUGUGGUGAAUACGUUCCCGGGCCUUGUACACACCGCCCGUCACACCAUGAGAGUUGAGAAUACCCGAAGCCCAUGUCAAAGUGGUCGAAGGUAGGCUUGAUGAUUGGGGUGAAGUCGUAACAAGGUAAC
rnacentral:rRNA from 1 species